rnacentral:rRNA from 1 species
CCUACGGGAGGCAGCAGUGAGGAAUAUUGGUCAAUGGACGCAAGUCUGAACCAGCCAUGCCGCGUGAGGGAAGACUGCCCUAUGAGUUGUAAACUGCUUUUGUACGGGGAUAAACGCGUAUACGUGUAGCUGUCUGAAGGUAUCGUACGAAUAAGGACCGGCUAAUUCCGUGCCAGCAGCCGCGGUAAUACGGAGGAUUCAAGCGUUAUCCGGAUUUAUUGGGUUUAAAGGGUGCGUAGGCGGUCGGAUAAGUUAGAGGUGAAAUCCCGAGGCUCAACCUCGGAAUUGCGUCUGAUACUGGUCGGCUAGAGAGUAGGUACGGUAGGCGGAAUGUAUGGUGUAGCGGUGAAAUGCUUAGAGAUCAUACAGAACACCGAUUGCGAAGGCAGCUUACCAAGCUACUUCUGACGUUGAGGCACGAAAGCGUGGGGAGCAAACAGGAUUAGAUACCCUUGUAGUC